rnacentral:rRNA from 1 species
GUCUCUUUGUUUUUUAUAUAUAAGGAGUCGGGCCUGCUCGGUGAUAUUAUAUUUAACAGCUGCAGCGUAAUAGUUGUACUAAGGUAGCAUAAUAAUUUGCCUUAUAAAUUAAGGCUAGAAUGAAUGGUUUGACGAAAGUUGAUCUGUCUCUUAUUUAUUUAUUAGAAAUUAAUUUUUAUAGUGAAAAGCUUUAAUUGAUUAAAGGGACGAGAAGACCCUAUUGAGCUUUUAUCAAAUGUGUAUAAAAUUAUUUUAAAAUUAUAUAAGAAAUGAUUUUGAUUGGGGUGAUCGAGGAAUAAGAUAAAGUAGUUAAUAACUUCCUUAAAAAUAAUUAAAAUAAAAUUGAUAAAUUAAUUAACCAAUAUUUUGCUUACGUGAAUAAGUUACCAUAGGGAUAACAGCGUAAUUUUUUUAGAGAGUUCUUAUUGAUAAAAAAGAUUGCGACCUCGAUGUUGGAUUAAAAUAACCUUAAGGCGAAGAAGCUUUAAUAGGUGAAUCUGUUCGAUUUUUAAAAUUUUAC